rnacentral:rRNA from 1 species
UGGGGAAUAUUGCACAAUGGGGGAAACCCUGAUGCAGCGACGCCGCGUGGAGGAAGAAGGUCUUCGGAUUGUAAACUCCUGUUGUUGAGGAAGAUAAUGACGGUACUCAACAAGGAAGUGACGGCUAACUACGUGCCAGCAGCCGCGGUAAAACGUAGGUCACAAGCGUUGUCCGGAAUUACUGGGUGUAAAGGGAGCGCAGGCGGGAAAACAAGUUGGAAGUGAAAUCCAUGGGCUCAACCCAUGAACUGCUUUCAAAACUGUUUUUCUUGAGUAGUGCAGAGGUAGGCGGAAUUCCCGGUGUAGCGGUGGAAUGCGUAGAUAUCGGGAGGAACACCAGUGGCGAAGGCGGCCUACUGGGCACCAACUGACGCUGAGGCUCGAAAGUGUGGGUAGCAAACAGGAUUAGAUACCCUGGUAGUCCACACCGUAAACGAUGAUUACUAGGUGUUGGAGGAUUGACCCCUUCAGUGCCGCAGUUAACGCAAUAAGUACUCCGCCUGAGUAGUACGUUCGCAAGAAUGAAACUCAAAGGAAUUGACGGGGGCCCGCACAAGCGGUGGAGCAUGUGGUUUAAUUCGACGCAACGCGAAGAACCUUACCAAGUCUUGACAUCCUGCGACGGACGUAGAAAUACGUUUUUCCUUCGGGACGCAGAGACAGGUGGUGCAUGGUUGUCGUCAGCUCGUGUCGUGAGAUGUUGGGUUAAGUCCCGCAACGAGCGCAACCCUUAUGGUCAGUUACUACGCAAGAGGACUCUGGCCAGACUGCCGUUGACAAAACGGAGGAAGGUGGGGAUGACGUCAAAUCAUCAUGCCCUUUAUGACUUGGGCUACACACGUACUACAAUGGCGUUAAACAAAGAGAAGCAAGACCGCGAGGUGGAGCAAAACUCAGAAACAACGUCCCAGUUCGGACUGCAGGCUGCAACUCGCCUGCACGAAGUCGGAAUUGCUAGUAAUCGCAGAUCAGCAUGCUGCGGUGAAUACGUUCCC